CCUACGGGGAGCUGCAGUGAGGAAUAUUGGUCAAUGGACGCAAGUCUGAACCAGCCAUGCCGCGUGCAGGAAGACGGCUCUAUGAGUUGUAAACUGCUUUUGUACGAGGGUAAACGCAGAUACGCGUAUCUGUCUGAAAGUAUCGUAUGAAUAAGGAUCGGCUAACUCCAUGCCAGCAGCCGCGGUAAUACGGAGGAUUCAAGCGUUAUCCGGAUUUAUUGGGUUUAAAGGGUGCGUAGGCGGUCGGAUAAGUUAGAUGUGAAAUCCCGAGGCUCAACUUCGGAAUUGCAUCUGAUACUGUGCGGCUAGAGUGUAGUAGCGGUAGGCGGAAGGUAUGGUGUAGCGGUGAAAUGCUUAGAGAUCAUACAGAACACCGAUUGCGAAGGCAGCUUACCAAGCUACUACUGACGUUGAGGCACGAAAGCGUGGGGAGCAAACAGGAUUAGAUACCCGUGUAGUC
rnacentral:rRNA from 1 species